rnacentral:tRNA from 1 species
GUAGGUAUAGCUCAGUGGCAGAGCACAUGCUUAGCAUGCACGAGGUCCUGGGUUCAACCCCCAGUACCUCCA